UACGUAGGGGGCAAGCGUUGUCCGGAUUUAUUGAGCGUAAAAGGCUUGUAGGUGGCCACGCCAAGUCGGAUGUGAAAUCUCCCGGCUCAACUGGGAGGGGUCAUUCGAUACUGGCGGGCUCGAGACCGGGAGAGGUGAGUGGAAUUCCCAGUGUAGCGGUGAAAUGCGUAGAUAUUGGGAGGAACACCAGUGGCGAAGGCGGCUCACUGGACCGGAACUGACGCUGAGGCGCGAAAGCGUGGGGAGCAAACAGG
rnacentral:rRNA from 1 species